rnacentral:lncRNA from 1 species
AAAGAGACUGAAUGUUGUUCAUAGAAAUCCAUUAGAGGGUUCGGCUUCAAUGAGUGUGUUUUGGCUAGCCCCACAAUUCCUUAUCCUUGGAAUAGGAGAUGGAUUUUCCCUUGUGGGAUUGCAAGAAUACUUCUACGAUCAAGUACCUGACUCCAUGAGAAGCUUGGGCAUUGCAUUAUAUCUUAGUGUAAUUGGUGCUGCAAAUUUCAUUAGCAGCCUCUUGAUAACCAUUGUGGAUCAUAUCACAGAGGAAAGUGGCAAGAGUUGGUUCGGAAAGGAUACACAAGCCUUCUCUUGAGAGCUUUGGAGCUGAUCAGUUUGAUGAUGAAAAUCCCAAAGAAAGAAGGAAAAAGAUGUCUUUUUUCAACUGGUGGAACUUUGGGCUAUGCUGUGGACUAUUACUUGGUGUGACGCUUAUCGUUUAUGUCCAAGAGCAUGUUAGCUGGGCCAUGGCAGAUGUAAUACUCACAGUAGUUAUGGCUUCGAGUAUAGCCAUCUUCUAUGCAGGGAGGCCAUUUUACCGUUACAGGAAGACGACUGGAAGUCCAUUUAUACCCAUGCUAAACGUGCUUGUAGCUGCAAUUAGAAAAAGAAACCUUCAACUUCCUUCAAAUCCUUCUCAUCUACACGAUGUUCCGAAGUCAGAGACUACCCAAAGAAGGCUCUUAGGCCACACCAAAAGGCUGAAGUAAGAUUCGAACAUAGUCAUUAUCAGGUCAUUCAAUUACUCAGGAGAGUUGGAAUAUGGUAUUGAAAACAAUUUUUGAUUCUACUUGACAGGUUCCUUGAUAAAGCUGCAAUCCUAGAUGUCACACAAGAUUCAAUAGAACAGCAACAGAAUCCAUGGAAACUUGCAACUGUCACCAAGGUGGAAGAACUGAAGCUAAUUAUCAACAUGAUUCCUAUUUGGCUAACCACUUUACCAUUUGGUAUAUGUGUAGCACAAGCCGCAACUUUUUUCAUAAAACAAGGUGUGACAAUGAAUCGGAAGAUCAUUCACAAUUUCGAGAUCCCCCCAGCCUCAAUUUAUGCCCUGACAGCUGUUGGCAUGAUAAUAGCCGUCACUAUCUAUGACAAAAUCCUUGUGCCUUUCCUGAGAAGGACAACAGGAAAUGAGAGAGGCAUAAGUAUUCUCCAAAGGAUCGGUAUUGGAAUGAUCUUCUCGAUUUCUACUAUGGUAGUUGCAGCUUUGGUUGAGAGAAAGAGACUGAAUGUUGUUCAUAGAAAUCCAUUAGAGGGUUCGGCUUCAAUGAGUGUGUUUUGGCUAGCCCCACAAUUCCUUAUCCUUGGAAUAGGAGAUGGAUUUUCCCUUGUGGGAUUGCAAGAAUACUUCUACGAUCAAGUACCUGACUCCAUGAGAAGCUUGGGCAUUGCAUUAUAUCUUAGUGUAAUUGGUGCUGCAAAUUUCAUUAGCAGCCUCUUGAUAACCAUUGUGGAUCAUAUCACAGAGGAAAGUGGCAAGAGUUGGUUCGGAAAGGAUCUAAACAGCAGCCGGC